GUGAUCUUUCACCAAACGUACAAGCUGCAGUAAGAUUGGUAAUAGAAUGAGCUACCAACCAACACUAAAUGAGUCUGAACCUAACAAAGACAAGAUUCAUUGCAUCAUGCACAGAGAAGAGAAGGACGGUGGAUUUGCCCCUACAGAGAUGGAGGAACUGUCCCAGUGUUUCCUUUGGCUCAUGCACCACCCACCAUUUUCAACAGGAGAAGGUACCGAGAUGGGCCUGUGGAUUGUUCAUGCAGCGCUCGUCUUCCAAGUCAUUAUGGCUCUCCUCUACGACGGGGAGAUUCUUCUGCACUAGGGGUGCUGCUUCACCAUCCCUGCAGGUUCCAUGGGUAAUUGACGGUACGUUGCUUCAGUGGCCCGCCCAUCUGCCAUGAAUGACAACAGGACGAUUAAAUCUGCAGCUCGUACUGCAGAGCUGCUCGGUUAAACUCAGUGACACCAAAGUUCGAUUUGAUGGGGAAAUGCUCAAGCUGGAAAUACUACUCGAGAAAAAAAGAAGGAUAUUAUCACAUCAAAUUUGAUGCAAAAAGACAAUCGAUUGAGGGGGAAGAAGUGCUGCAGUCAAUGAUGAUCUCCUCAGCCAACAAACUCCAUGGUGAGAUAGAUGCAUCGUUUUGUGUGUUCCAAUCAGCACAUUCACAUGAUUCUCUUGUUUUCUUCCAAGGUGUGCUUGAAAGAAGAAAGCCUAUUUAUCCCACUUUAACUGGUGAAGUUGGGAAACAGCAUGGAUUAUGAUCGACUGAUGCAGAAAAUUGUGGCUUCUUCUUGUCCUAUAAUUGGUGUUUUAUGGACCACAUACAAGAGAAGAAGAAAUCAAAGGAAAAAAGCACAAGGAAAAGAGAGUACAACUCAAUUGGAUUCUCCGAGUGCAAAAAAAUAUAAGCAUGAAAGUUUCUUCAAGUAGAUCUUUCUUUCACACAUCCAAUAUUCAAACAGCAUCAGUCUCGGAAGUUUCCAUUGCAAGUUUUUCUCGGUGCCCAACUUGCAUGGACUGUCGGAAAUUUCCAAGAAAUACAGCACCGAAUUCCACAGAGAAAUCAGAAAAGACAACAUGCUUAGCUCCAUUUUCCUGGUUCAGAGAAUUCUGGAAUUGGCAUCUUGAAGAAGUCAGAGAAGUUACCUUCUCCGAGCAACAAAUAAAUCUUACAUAAUUUUGGGAUGAGUGAGAUUUUUGUUCAUAUGUUGUGAAGCCACUACUAAUCCAAGUCGCAUCAAAUUCUGCUUUCAUAUAACAGGAAAAGGAGAACGAAGCCACUCGAUUUCUUCUUUUCUUUUUCUCUCUUGCAAAGAUGAAGCCAUAAUGUGACUGAUUUAAAAUGCAAAAGCCGACGCUCUCAAGAUCUCAAAAUGAUUUCAUUGCAGCGAAUGCAAUCGGAAGAUGAAUUGAGAUGGUCAAAACAAAGAAAAAGUCCUAUUCUGCGAGUACACGGGAUUGCUUCACUGUCCUAUCUCACGAGUCCCAUGCAGAGAACAAUUAGUUGCCAGCGAUGCAGGAAGAAGUAAAACUUAUUUUAGCUGAAGACCAUAAUGCACAAAGAGCUCAGACUGACUUGAUCAGUAUAUUUCGUGACCUAAGAAACCAUUUGAAUCAUGCAAAUAAUCUUUAUGCAAAGUCAGAGUAAGACUCAAUACCUGAACAGAAAUGUGCACAGCUGAUGCUCAUCUUCAGAUUCACCUGAGAUGCUUCU
rnacentral:lncRNA from 1 species